CGGAGGGAAUGAGGUUGGUGGCAGCAGAGCUCUUCCUAACAGCACAAAGCACCUCAUACGUGCUGGCCUUGCACUGGUCCCUCUGCAUCCGUUGGUUCCUUUGGUUCUUUCAACAGCCCUGAAAGGCAGGUAGAACGAUCCCCCUGUCACAGAUGGGACAACUGAGCCUCAGAGAGGUAAAGGGACUUCCCCAAGGUUACACAGCUGGUAGGAGUGAGUGUGGAACUCAACCCAAGCCUACACUUUUCUGCCCAUGAAAACCGCAGAUUUCUCCUCUGCAGUUACAAGUUGGGGUCGGCAAACACUCGCGAAGCUAAGCUACCUCUCCGCCUGAAAACUAGAAUCACAGAGGGUCAGAGCUGGACGGGCCUUAAUCCCCUCCCUAUACAGGGAGCACCUGCUGUGUGCUAUGCUCUAGCAAAGGAAGAGGGCCAUCUGGUCCCUCCUACAGGGCGAACCGGGAAGGAGGAGGUGAGGACCCCAUGAAGCGGGACUGCUUAGAAAGCUUAACACGUACGUUAAUUCUCCUAUUACGAGAACAACACGAACACCUUAAAGCGAAUUUGGAGAGAAGUGCAGACAUCUCUUGGGCCUCCCUCCUCUGAUACUGUCUGCAUCUUCGCUUUGUAUCCUCCCGCUUUCCCUGCCCAGGUUUUCUUCCCCAGAGUAGCCAUCAGGCUGUUCAGACAGGAUUUUUUUUGUUCUUGUUUCCGAAAUGGAAACUGAGCAUGUCAGAGCAGCCAGGGCGGUUUGCACAGUACGGGCGGCAGGUGUGACCAGGCUCCGGGGUGGGGGGGGGGCGAGCCCAGACCAGGAGCCCUGCUUUGGUGGGCAUCCCAUGCCUCCCGCAGGUGCUAGCAAGACCCACACGAUGCUGCCAUGGAUGCGGGGCCCGGCAGCUACCUGCAGAUGCUCACUGACCUCUUCCAGGCCAUCGAGGAGACCCAUGAGAGCACGGACUGCAGCGCGCCCAUGUCUUACCUUGAGAUUUAUAACGAAGUGAUCUGGGACCUCCUGAACCCGUCCUCAGGGUUUCUGGACCUGCGGAAAGAUUCUAGGGGCAGCAUCCAGACUGCAGGCAUCACGGAGGUCUCCACCACAAACAC